ensembl:lncRNA
GGAAAACGAAUACUCUCCCUAUUAUAAAUAACCGUACACAUGUUUGUCUGUCUGCUGCUGGACAAAGGAUGGCCUGCUGGGACUAAUCUGGUUACUACAGUUAAAAGUGAUCCCUGAAGGUGUUCACCAUAGCAUGAGCCAAGGCUAACCACGACUCACGUCAACCAUGUCUCCUCCACGUGUAACUAUGGGCUCAGUCCUUUUCACAAUGAGCAACUAUCUGUGCCAUAGCUUUCACAAAACACUGCGCCUUUCACACAGUUUUAUCCUUCAGCUCUGCAGAGGAAACGGGAUUAAUGAUUCCACCAUCUCUGCUCCUCCCAGCGGGUGCAGAGUUGUUGUUGAUCCUGGCUUUGCAGGAGAAGAGUGCAGUUCUAGACUCUGCGGGAACGUCCAUUAGCAGGUUAAUAAAGAGCAUCCUGUGUUUAUGUGUGUGGCUUUGUGUAUUUAAUCGUUUCACACUGUAUUUGUCAGGAUGUUUGCUUAUGGAAAGUGUUAAAGUCAUUUUUAGCCUGCUUGCUUUCCCCUCUUGUCUCUCGGCCUUUGUUCUGUGUCUCCUUUCUCGUUCUACCUGGGGUUUUUUUACAAGCUGUUGGGAAACUUCUUUUUCAAGCUAUCCAUCUCCUCUUUGAUAUUUGUUGGAAAAGUAUUCAGAUCCAAGUGAAAUGUGUCCUCGUGUGAGUGUGAAAGUGAGUCAGAGUGUUUGAUCAGGGCCAAAAUAGGAAUGGGAUGUAUCUUUAAUCGAGCCCCUGUAGUAUCAGUCCUGAGUCAAUAUUGCUCCGUCUGAGCUGGAAAAGGGGGGAAGUCUUGAGCAAGUAGAAGAACCGCCCGCUCUCUGGACGUAAUUAAUAAGGAAACUGAAAAACAAGAUAAUGACGCUGCUGCACUUGACUGCUUACCUCACUUCAGCAAAAUGUAGAGAUGUUUGGAAUGAGAUUAGUUAAGAUUGGUUAUCCUUGUAUGAUUUAAGGAUAAGGGACAUUUCAUUUGACAUCUGAGACACAUUUUGAUCAAAGCCUUUGGGACGUGUCCUCAGGUUGCGACCUGCUUCCACCUUAAAUCCAGCAGCCAGCAGCAUUAAGUCAAUGUUCCCAAAAUAUCUGGUUGAAAGAUAAACUGUCCUCUCAUUUGACCCUCUCUCCCUCCCCUCGUGAUUUUCUCUGUGUGAAACGCUCCCACACUCUUUUCCUUAAUCCCCCCCCUUCCCCCUUUACGUCUCCCCCUUUUUUUUUUUUUUCAAAGCGUGGUCUCCUCCCAUCCUCUAAUCUCCC